AGCAGCCGCGGUAAUUCCAGCUCCAAUAGCGUAUAUUAAAGUUGUUGCAGUUAAAAAGCUCGUAGUUGAAUUUCGGGAUCAAUAUAUUGGUCAUGCUUAGGUAUGUACUGGUAUUAUUGAUUUCUCCCUUCUGAAGAACCAUAAUGUCAUUAAUUUGAUGUCAUGGGGAAUCAGGACUGUUACUUUGAAAAAAUUAGAGUGUUUAAAGCAGGCUUUCGCUUGAAUACAUUAGCAUGGGAUAAUGAAAUAGGACGUUUGAUUCUAUUUUGUUGGUUUCUAGAAUCGACGUAAUGAUUAAUAGGGAUAGUUGGGGGCAUUAGUAUUCAAUUGUCAGAGGUGAAAUUCUUGGAUUUAUUGAAGACUAACUACUGCGAAAGCAUUUGCCAAGGAUGUUUUCAUUAAUCAAGAACGAAAGUUAGGGGAUCGAAGACGAUCAGAUACCGUCGUAGUCUUAACCAUAAACUAUGCCGACUAGGGAUCGGAUGAUG
rnacentral:rRNA from 1 species